UCCUAGCUCCAGCACAGGCCACGAACUGUACGAGUUCGUCUCCAAAACUGACCACCAAAAUCUCCGAUUCUAGUUCGAUUUUGAUCCGUUUCACACGAAAUAAAAUCCCUAUAAAUACCUACAUAUCUCCUCUGUUGGUGCCCCUCUGAAACCCUAAUUUUGGUGCCGCCAGGCCGUCCAAUUUCACCGCCGGAGUCCCGCCUACCGCCGCACUAUUCUGUGGAUUCUGAUAAAAUUCCAAAACGACGAAUUCGUCAACGACACUGAUAUCACCGUCGUCGUAUGAACCUGGUCACCAUCGCGCCAUGUGACUCCGGCCACCUCUGCUCGCCGUUGAAGGAAGAGCACCAGCGCGAUGAACACGCUUUCGAGUUCCCCACAUCGAGCAGCACCCGGAGUCUAUUUUCCCUCGGCCACAUCGACGACAACGGCGGGCUUCUGCCAUUAUCGUGCGGAGUGUAACCCCUGUUCUUGCAAGAAGAGUGCGAACGCCAACGACAAAUAAG